rnacentral:rRNA from 1 species
UAUCCUGUCUGAAUAUGGGGGGACCAUCCUCCAAGGCUAAAUACUCCUGACUGACCGAUAGUGAACCAGUACCGUGAGGGAAAGGCGAAAAGAACCCCGGCGAGGGGAGUGAAAAAGAACCUGAAACCGUGUACGUACAAGCAGUGGGAGCACCUUCGUGGUGUGACUGCGUACCUUUUGUAUAAUGGGUCAGCGACUUAUAUUCUGUAGCAAGGUUAACCGUAUAGGGGAGCCGAAGGGAAACCGAGUCUUAACUGGGCGUUAAGUUGCAGGGUAUAGACCCGAAACCCGGUGAUCUAGCCAUGGGCAGGUUGAAGGUUGGGUAACACUAACUGGAGGACCGAACCGACUAAUGUUGAAAAAUUAGCGGAUGACUUGUGGCUGGGGGUGAAAGGCCAAUCAAACCGGGAGAUAGCUGGUUCUCCCCGAAAGCUAUUUAGGUAGCGCCUCGUGAACUCAUCUUCGGGGGUAGAGCACUGUUUCGGCUAGGGGGCCAUCCCGGCUUACCAACCCGAUGCAAACUACGAAUACCGAAGAAUGUUAUCACGGGAGACACACGGCGGGUGCUAACGUCCGUCGUGAAGAGGGAAACAACCCAGACCGCCAGCUAAGGUCCCAAAGUCAUGGUUAAGUGGGAAACGAUGUGGGAAGGCACAGACAGCCAGGAUGUUGGCUUAGAAGCAGCCAUCAUUUAAAGAAAGCGUAAUAGCUCACUGGUCGAGUCGGCCUGCGCGGAAGAUGUAACGGGGCUAAACCAUGCACCGAAGCUGCGGCAGCGACGCUUAGGCGUUGUUGGGUAGGGGAGCGUUCUGUAAGCCGUUGAAGGUGUCCUGUGAGGGGUGCUGGAGGUAUCAGAAGUGCGAAUGCUGACAUAAGUAACGAUAAAGCGGGUGAAAAGCCCGCUCGCCGGAAGACCAAGGGUUCCUGUCCAACGUUAAUCGGGGCAGGGUGAGUCGACCCCUAAGGCGAGGCCGAAAGGCGUAGUCGAUGGGAAACAGGUUAAUAUUCCUGUACUUGGUGUUACUGCGAAGGGGGGACGGAGAAGGCUAUGUUAGCCGGGCGACGGUUGUCCCGGUUUAAGCAUGUAGGCGGAACGAUUAGGUAAAUCCGGUCGUUUAUUAACGCUGAGGUGUGAUGACGAGGCACUACGGUGCUGAAGUAACAAAUGCCCUGCUUCCAGGAAAAGCCUCUAAGCAUCAGGUAACAUCAAAUCGUACCCCAAACCGACACAGGUGGUCAGGUAGAGAAUACCAAGGCGCUUGAGAGAACUCGGGUGAAGGAACUAGGCAAAAUGGUGCCGUAACUUCGGGAGAAGGCACGCUGAUAUGUAGGUGAAGCCCCUGCGGGUGGAGCUGAAAUCAGUCGAAGAUACCAGCUGGCUGCAACUGUUUAUUAAAAACACAGCACUGUGCAAACACGAAAGUGGACGUAUACGGUGUGACGCCUGCCCGGUGCCGGAAGGUUAAUUGAUGGGGUUAGCGGCAACGCGAAGCUCUUGAUCGAAGCCCCGGUAAACGGCGGCCGUAACUAUAACGGUCCUAAGGUAGCGAAAUUCCUUGUCGGGUAAGUUCCGACCUGCACGAAUGGCGUAAUGAUGGCCAGGCUGUCUCCACCCGAGACUCAGUGAAAUUGAACUCGCUGUGAAGAUGCAGUGUACCCGCGGCAAGACGGAAAGACCCCGUGAACCUUUACUAUAGCUUGACACUGAACACUGGUCCUUGAUGUGUAGGAUAGGUGGGAGGCUUUGAAGCGUGGACGCCAGUCUGCGUGGAGCCGACCUUGAAAUACCACCCUUUAAUGGCUGGUGUUCUAACGUAGACCCGUAAUCCGGGUUGCGGACAGUGUCUGGUGGGUAGUUUGACUGGGGCGGUCUCCUCCCAAAGAGUAACGGAGGAGCACGAAGGUUAGCUAAUCCUGGUCGGACAUCAGGAGGUUAGUGCAAUGGCAUAAGCUAGCUUGACUGCGAGAGUGACGGCUCGAGCAGGUGCGAAAGCAGGUCAUAGUGAUCCGGUGGUUCUGAAUGGAAGGGCCAUCGCUCAACGGAUAAAAGGUACUCCGGGGAUAACAGGCUGAUACCGCCCAAGAGUUCAUAUCGACGGCGGUGUUUGGCACCUCGAUGUCGGCUCAUCACAUCCUGGGGCUGAAGUAGGUCCCAAGGGUAUGGCUGUUCGCCAUUUAAAGUGGUACGCGAGCUGGGUUUAGAACGUCGUGAGACAGUUCGGUCCCUAUCUGCCGUGGGCGCUGGAGAAUUGAGGGGGGCUGCUCCUAGUACGAGAGGACCGGAGUGGACGCAUCACUGGUGUUCGGGUUGUCAUGCCAAUGGCACUGCCCGGUAGCUAAAUGCGGAAAAGAUAAGUGCUGAAAGCAUCUAAGCACGAAACUUGCCCCGAGAUGAGUUCUCCCUGACCCUUUAAGGGUCCUGAAGGAACGUUGAAGACUACGACGUUGAUAGGUCGGGUGUGUAAGCGCAGCGAUGCGUUGAGCUAACCGAUACUAAUGAACCGUGAGGCUUAACCUUACAACGCCGAAGCUGUU